rnacentral:rRNA from 1 species
GUAGGAUUUCGAACGUUAUCCGGAUUUACUGGGCGUAAAGCGCGUGCAGGCGGUUUGGUAAGUUGGAUGUGAAAGCUCCGGGCUCAACCCGGAGAGGUCAUUCAAAACUGCCAGACUAGAGGACGGUAGAGGGAGGUGGAAUUCCGGGUGUAGUGGUGAAAUGCGUAGAUAUCCGGAGGAACACCAGUGGCGAAGGCGGCCUCCUGGGCCGUUCCUGACGCUCAGACGCGAAAGCUAGGGGAGCAAACGGGAUUAGAAACCCCGGUAGUCCUAGCUGUAAACGAUGUAGACUUGGUGUUGGUGGCCUUAAAAUCAUCAGUGCCGCAGCUAACGCGAUAAGUCUACCGCCUGGGGAUUACGACCGCAAGGUUA